UGAAGGGCCAUGGCUCAGUGGUACAGCAUCUGAUUUAUGUGCAGAAAGCAUGAGAUUCAAUCCCCAUCAUUUUUAG